CCUACGAGGGGCUGCAGUGAGGAAUAUUGGUCAAUGGGCGGGAGCCUGAACCAGCCAAGCCGCGUGAGGGAAGAAGGUGCCAGGCGUCGUAAACCUCUUUUGUCGGGGAACAAAGGGCGCCACGCGUGCCGUUGUGAGUGUACCCGAAGAAAAAGCAUCGGCUAACUCCGUGCCAGCAGCCGCGGUAAUACGGAGGAUGCGAGCGUUAUCCGGAUUUAUUGGGUUUAAAGGGUGCGGAGGCGGUCCGGAAAGUCAGCGGUAAAAGCCCGGGGCUCAACCCCGCCGAGCCGUUGCAACUGUGGGACUAGAGACGGCGAGAGGUACGCGGAAUGCGCGGCGUAGCGGUGAAAUGCAUAGAUAUCGCGCAGAACUCCGAUUGCGAAGGCAGCGUACCGGCGCCGUACUGACGCUGAGGCACGAAGGCGUGGGUAUCGAACAGGAUUAGAUACCCGGGUAGUC
rnacentral:rRNA from 1 species